UACAGAGGGUGCGAGCGUUGUUCGGAAUUACUGGGCGUAAAGCGCGCGCAGGCGGCUUUCUAAGUCUCGUGGUCAAAUGCCGGGGCUCAACCCCGAGCGUGCCAGGGAUACUGGGAAGCUGGAGACAGGUAGAGGCAAGCGGAAUUCCGGGUGUAGCGGUGGAAUGCGUAGAGAUCCGGAAGAACACCGGAGGCGAAGGCGGCUUGCUGGACCUGGUCUGACGCUGAGGCGCGAAAGCGUGGGGAGCAAACAGG
rnacentral:rRNA from 1 species